rnacentral:lncRNA from 1 species
GAAUUACUAUGUAGUAAGUUUUUGCGGAGUGGAUUGUGUUCGUUGUUCAAAACAAGCAGUUCUCGUGUUGACAAGUGCGAUUUGAGUCAAAUUUAGUCGUAUAUAUAACUGUAGUCAUCUAUAGUUCCAUGUAGUUAUAUAUAUUUAUAUACAAGCUAUGUGGGUUUUCUGAUGUAUAGUGAUCUUGAUGAUUGUGUUUUUUUUUCACUUUUUUGUUAGGCA